UACGUAGGGGGCAAGCGUUGUCCGGAUUUAUUGGGCGUAAAGCGCACGUAGGCGGCUUUUCAAGUCCCAUGUGAAAGCCCACGGCUUAACCGUGGAAGUGCAUGGGAAACUGGAAGCUUGAGUACUUAAGAGGAUCGCGGAAUUCCCGGUGUAGAGGUGAAAUUCGUAGAUAUCGGGAGGAACACCAGUGGCGAAGGCGGCGAUCUGGGAAGAUACUGACGCUGAGGUGCGAAAGCGUGGGGAGCAAACAGG
rnacentral:rRNA from 1 species